rnacentral:rRNA from 1 species
AUUGAACGCUGGCGGCAGGCCUAACACAUGCAAGUCGAACGAGUGGCGGACGGGUGAGUAAUGUCUGGGAAACUGCCUGAUGGAGGGGGAUAACUACUGGAAACGGUAGCUAAUACCGCAUACCAUCAGAUGUGCCCAGAUGGGAUUAGCUAGUUGGUGGGGUAACGGCUCACCAAGGCGACGAUCCCUAGCUGGUCUGAGAGGAUGACCAGACAAACUGGAACGGAGACACGGUCCAGACACCUACGGGAGGGAGCAGUGGGGAAUAUUGGACAAGGGGCGCAAGCCUGAAAAAGCCAUGCCGCGUGUAUGAAGAAGGCGGUCGGGUUGUAAAGUACUUGCAGCGGGGAGGCGUUACCCGCAGAAGAAGCACCGGCUAACUCCGUGCCAGCAGCCGCGGUAAUUC